rnacentral:rRNA from 1 species
GAUGUGGUUAAGUCCCGCAACGAGACGCAACCCUUAUUGCUAGUUACCAUCAUUGAGUUGGGACUCUAGCGAGACUGCCAGCGAUAAACUGGAGGAAGGUGGGGAUGACGUCAAAUCAUCAUGCCCCUUAUGACCUGGGCUACAAACGUGAUACAAUGGCUGAAACAGAGGGAGGCGAAGGGGUGACCUGGAGCGAAACCCAGAAAAACAGUCUCAGUUCGGAUUGAAGUCUGCAACUCGACUUCAUGAAGUCGGAAUCGCUAGUAAUCGCGGAUCAGAACGCCGCGGUGAAUACGUUCUCGGGUUU